GAACUGCGAUAAGUAAUGUGAAUUGCAGAAUUCAGUGAAUCAUCGAGUCUUUGAACGCACAUUGCGCCCCCUGGCAUUCCGGGGGGCAUGCCUGUCCGAGCGUCAUUGCUUCCCUUCAAGCCCGGCUUGUGUGUUGGGUCGUCGUCCCCUCCGGGGGACGGGCCCGAAAGGCAGCGGCGGCACCGCGUCCGGUCCUCGAGCGUAUGGGGCUUUGUCACCCGCUCGAUAAGGACCGGCCGGGCGCCAGCCGGCGUCUCCAACCUUUUUUUCUCAGGUUGACCUCGGAUCAGGUAGGGAUACCCGCUGAACUUAAGC
rnacentral:misc_RNA from 1 species